UACGGGGGGGGCAAGCGUUGUUCGGAAUUACUGGGCGUAAAGGGCUCGUAGGCGGCCAACUAAGUCGGAUGUGAAAUCCCCAGGCUUAACCUGGGAACUGCAUCCGAUACUGGAUGGCUUGAAUUCGGGAGAGGGAUGCAGAAUUCCAGGUGUAGCGGUGAAAUGCGUAGAUAUCUGGAGGAAUACCGGUGGCGAAGGCGACAUACUGGACACAUAUUGACGCUGAGGUGCGAAAGCGUGGGGAGCAAACAGG
rnacentral:rRNA from 1 species